rnacentral:lncRNA from 1 species
CUACUCCUGAAUGUCUAAAGAACUCUCAAUGCAUAUUAGCCAUCACCAUGGUUGAGACCCAGACCUCUGCAGAGACAAUCUUGAUCCUCUGGCUCCUGCUUCACAUUGCCCAUUCACCCUCAGCACUGAAAUCCUUACCUCAAGCGCUGGGAAUUCAGGCCAUGGAAGAUUAGGAGGCUCACAGCAGGUUGCUUUGCCCUUUUUUUCCCUAUUCCUUUUUGCAUUUUCUUCUGGGUCUCUCAAAGGCCAUCUAAUUCUUCUCUGUCAUAUGCAUAGAUUUUGGGAACUACUUUGUUUCCUAAGCAUGCCCCUGAGAGGACUCACCCCUUACCCCCAGCAGCUUAUCAAAGUAUUUUUGUAUUUCUGUCAAACUAGUGGAAUGCUGCUCCAAGAAGAAUUCUGAUUACAUUUUUCCAUGUCGUUGUUAUGGAAGCUGUAUCUAUAUAAAGUGGGAAGAUGCCAAUAAGGGUCCUUGCUCCUUGAGUAUUCUGAACUCCCCGAGAGCGGCAACCCAUAUCUUAACUCUCUUUGCAUCAACAGAGCCCAAUACAAUGCCUGGCACAGAGUAAGCCUCAAAUAUGUCUAUGAUAUAAAUUUUCUAAUAAAAU